rnacentral:rRNA from 1 species
UACGGGGGGGGCAAGCGUUUGUUCGGAAUUACUGGGCGUAAAGGGCUCGUAGGCGCCAACUAAGUCAGACGUGAAAUCCCCAGGCUCAACCUGGGAACUGCGUCUGAUACUGGAUGGCUUGAAUCCGGGAGAGGGAUGCAGAAUUCCAGGUGUAGCGGUGAAAUGCGUAGAUAUCUGGAGGAAUACCGGUGGCGAAGGCGGCAUCCUGGACCGGCAUUGACGCUGAGGAGCGAAAGCCAGGGGAGCAAACGGGG